rnacentral:lncRNA from 1 species
UAGAUCUGGGCGAAGCCUCCUAAGGGCAGAAGAAGCAGCCAGGGCUAAGAAGUCCACUGAGUUCGACCCUGUUGGCAUCAAGUGCUAUUGGAGUGUGAGGCUGAGGAACUUCUACAUUGUGUCCUGGCCAGGAGCGCACGCACUCCAGUCUUCAUUCCUGGCAAAGGAAUGGACAACAGCCAGCUAGAAAAGGAAACUUCUGACCUCCUUGCCCAGCUCCUCCUUCUGCCCUAUGGCUACCCCACUGUGUUAGGCAUCGAUACCCAACCAACUGUGGAUCCCCCUCCCCACAAUAAAAGCCUGCACUG